CGGCCGCAGCGGGGGACCCGCGACCUGGAGCAGCGGGAGGCCGAGGCCAAGGGCCGCCCGGGCUCGCCCCUCGCCGCGGAGGAGACCCCCGGGCGCGAGCACCUGCCCCCGUGGCGGCGCCGCAGGUUCCUGCGGGUGCCCGAGCGGGACUCGCCCGGCCACAGCUCGCCGGAGAGAGACAGCGACGGCAGCCGGCACAGCUCCGACCGCGAGGACGACUUCUCCGCAGGCUGCUCUGUGUGUUGGGGCCACGUGCAAACUUCAGGGAAGGGCCACGGCCCUCACCAGCCCCCUCUGCGGACUCGUUUUCUUCUUAGAAGGCGGCGCCCGGCCUCUUGGCUUUCUAGGAGUCUGGGAGCAAGAGGGCAAGGGGAGGCUUAGGCC
rnacentral:lncRNA from 1 species